GAGUCAAGGUUUUUGUAUUUUAACUAAACAUAUUUGAAUAUAAUUACCAACUUGCAGCUUGCAGGACGAAUAAUAAUGGACGUUGAUUAUAAUAUUUCUAAAUACUGAACCAUCGACGAUCAUCACAUCCUGAACACGAAUCUACACAGGACUCAUCCACAAACACGUUAAAGAUACACAGAAAGCGAGUAGUAGGUUCGAUACACAAAUAUAUACGAUACAUUUGAUGUAUUCAUCAUGCUGAUACAAGUUGGUGCAUAAUACUUAUACACGUUGGAAAUACACAGAAGGCGAGUGUGAUGUAUUCAUCAUGCUAAUACAAAUUGGUGCAUAACACUUAUACACGUUGGAAAUACAGAGAAGGCGAGUGUGAUGUAAUCAUCAUGCUGAUACAAAUUGGUGCAUAACACUUAUACACGUUGAAAAUACACAUGCCAAGUGUGUAAUGCUAUACCGAAACUAAUGAAAUAUACUGAUGCAAGGUGGUGCAAAACACAUCCGAAACCGAAAUACAUAAGAAAAAAUUUGAUGUAUUUAUCAUACUGAUACAAAUUGGUGCAAAACACUUAUGAUCAUUGGAAAUACACAGAAGGCGAGUGUGAUGUAUUCAUCAUGCUGAUACAAGUUGGUGCAUAACACUUAUACACGUUGGAAAUACACAGAAGGCGAGUGUGAUGUAUUUAUCAUACUGAUACAAAUUGGUGCAUAACACUUAUUAUACGUUGGAAAUACACAGAAGGCGAGUAACACUUAUGUAACACGUGUAACACAUAAACACGUUGGAAGUACACGGAAGGCGGUUUCAAAGUUCUACACCGAAAUACAUAAGAAACUUUUAAUAUAUUCAUCAUGGUGAUGCAAAUUGGUGCAUAACACUUAUGAUCAUUGGAAAUACACAGAAGGCGAGUGUGAUGUAUUCAUCAUGCUGAUACAAAUUGGUGCGUAACACUUAAAUACUUCACAUUUGAAGUAUACAUCAUUCUGAUUCGAAUUGGCGCAUUUGUUACGAAACUAUAAUAAAUAUAUUUUGAUACUAACUUUA